UACGUAGGGUGCGAGCGUUAAUCGGAAUUACUGGGCGUAAAGCGUGCGCAGGCGGUUUUGUAAGUCUGUCGUGAAAUCCCCCGGGCUCAACCUGGGAAUUGCGAUGGAGACUGCAAGGCUAGAAUCUGGCAGAGGGGGGGUAGAAUUCCACGUGUAGCAGUGAAAUGCGUAGAGAUGUGGAGGAACACCGAUGGCGAAGGCAGCCCCCCUGGGUCAAGAUUGACGCUCAUGCACGAAAGCGUGGGGAGCAAACAGG
rnacentral:rRNA from 1 species